UACGGAGGGUGCAAGCGUUAUCCGGAUUCACUGGGUUUAAAGGGUGCGUAGGUGGGUUGGUAAGUCAGUGGUGAAAUCCCCGAGCUUAACUUGGGAACUGCCAUCGAUACUAUCAGUCUUGAAUACCGUGGAGGUUAGCGGAAUAUGUCAUGUAGCGGUGAAAUGCUUAGAUAUGACAUAGAACACCAAUUGCGAAGGCAGCUGGCUACACGAAUAUUGACACUGAGGCACGAAAGCGUGGGGAUCAAACAGG
rnacentral:rRNA from 1 species